UGGAAUGGGUCCAAGGCCGGCACUGUUGGU
rnacentral:piRNA from 1 species